CUAAGUUUGGAAUUAAAUAAAGACAGAGAUGUGGAGAGAAUACAUGGAAGUGGUAUCAACACCCUUGAUAUUGAGCCUGUUGAGGGAAGAUACAUGUUAUCUGGUGGAUCAGAUGGUGUCAUUGUACUUUAUGACCUUGAAAACUUGAGCAGGAAACCAAGUUACACAUGUAAAGCACUUUUUUCUGUUGGAAGGAGUCAUCCUGAUGUACAUAAAUUCAGUGUGGAGACAGUCCAGUGGUAUCCUCAUGACACUGGCAUGUUUACAUCGAGCUCAUUUGACAAAACCUUGAAAAUAUGGGAUACAAAUACUUUACAACCUGCAGAUAUAUUUCACUUUGAGGGAACAGUCUAUAGCCAUCACAUGUCUCCAGUUGCUACAAAGCAUUGUUUAAUAGCAGUUGGUACCAAAAGCCCCAAAGUACAGCUCUGUGACUUGAAGUCUGGAUCCAGUUCUCACAUUCUGCAGGGUCACAGACAAGAAGUAUUGGCAGUGUCUUGGUCCCCACGUCAUGAAUAUAUUUUGGCAACAGGAAGUGCUGAUGGCAGAAUAAAAUUGUGGGAUGUGAGGAGGGCUUCUGGGUGUCUGAGUACACUUGAUCAGCACAAUGGGGAAAAGUCCAAAGCAUCUUCUGAGGCAGCAAAUACUGCUCACAAUGGGAGAGUAAAUGGUUUAUGCUAUACAAAUGAUGGACUUCAUCUACUAAGCAUUGGAACAGAUGAUCGGAUGCGACUCUGGAACAGCUCCACUGGAGAAAACACCUUAGUGAACUAUGGGAAAGUCUGUAAUGAAAGUAGGAAAGGACUCAAAUUUGCCAUCUCUUGUGGCUGUAAUCCAGAGUUUGCCUUUGUUCCAUAUGGAAGUACCAUUGCUGUAUAUACAGUUUUCACAGGAGAACUGAUAACUGUGCUUAGAGGGCAUUAUAGUGCUGUCAACUGCUGUGUAUUUCAACCUCAUUUUCAGGAACUUUAUAGUGGUAGCAAAGACUGCAAUAUCCUUGCAUGGAUACCAGCUCCACGAGAGGCAGUUGCUGAUGAUAUUUCUGAAAAGUCUCUGCCUCAACAACAUUUAAAUCCAGCAUAUGAAGAUGCAUGGAGCAGCAGUGAUGAUGAAGACUGAAUUUAAAUUAUGAGCUGAUAUAAAAUUGACAUUCAGGCACUGCAUUCACAGACUUUAUCUACAGAAUUUAACAUUCAUUGUUGGAUUAAUCACAACUGGAUUUUAGAUUAAAACAGAUCUAUGACUGCUCCAGCAUUUUCUUUGUGACUGCCACAACAAUUUUGCAGCCUGCCAUCUGAACAUGCACUGGAAGGUGAGACUGGCGGAGAAAGGGAAGAGAAACUGCUUCACUAUUAGCAAGGUUAUGCAAUUUAGUGACUUUUAUGGGAUCCUUGUGGACCGUGGCAUAAGAAACAUGAGAAGAAACAGGAGAAAAAAGUAGAUGGUUGAUUUUUGAAUAGAGAGAGAUGUUGUGCAGCACAUGGCAUGUGGGGAUGACACAGACAGCUACAUCUUCAUUAGCACCAAAGAGUUUCCAUAGGCUGUAUUGGUUUAUCUUUGCUCGCCUCAUUAACUCACUUGUUUCUAAAAGCCCAAAACAAACGUUUAAUCAGAUUGAGUUGCAAUCAGCCUGCAUUCAAGCAAUAUACUCUGAGGAGAUGGAGGAGGAAACGUCCCUGCAAAACUCAGCUCAUCCAGAGAGAUAUGAGCAGGACUGAGUCAUCUUCUCACCUUGUCCCACAGCAAAACUGAUGAUACAUGUCUGAGGAAGAAUUCCUUUGUGGUGUGGAAACUGCUCCUGGAAAGUCACUGCAAGCAUUACACAAGGGGCCAUCCAUGGUGUUCUGGAAGAGACCUAGCCCCCUUGAGGCUAAAAGUUACUCUAAGAUCUCCUUGAAGACUUCAGCCCGAACACCUCCAACUCGCUCUGCUUUUGCUCACAGAGGAGAUGCUCCAACCCUCGGAUCGCCCUUGCGGCCUCCUCUGGACUCGCUCACGAAGACUCCUAACCCUUAGCCGUGACCCCUGGUGAGAGAGACGUGCGGGGCGCUGCCGGAGGCGCUGCGGGCGGUCCGGGGCGGUGC